rnacentral:tRNA from 1 species
GGCGAGAGGUUGUGGCUCAGUGGCAGAAGAUUUGCUUGGCAUUCAGAAGGUUGCGGGUUCAAUCCCUGGCAACGCCA